UACGUAGGGGGCAAGCGUUGUCCGGAAUCAUUGGGCGUAAAGAGCGCGUAGGCGGCCCAGUAAGUCCGCUCUGAAAGUCAGGGGCUCAACCCCUGAAUGCGGGUGGAUACUGCUGGGCUAGAGUCCGGAAGAGGCGAGUGGAAUUCCUGGUGUAGCGGUGAAAUGCGCAGAUAUCAGGAGGAACACCGAUGGCGAAGGCAGCUCGCUGGGACGUUACUGACGCUGAGGCGCGAAAGCGUGGGGAGCAAACAGG
rnacentral:rRNA from 1 species